CCUACGGGAGGCAGCAGUAGGGAAUCUUCCGCAAUGGACGAAAGUCUGACGGAGCAACGCCGCGUGAACGAUGAAGGCCUUCGGGUCGUAAAGUUCUGUUGUUAGGGAAGAACAAGUGCUAGUUAAAUAAGCUGGCACCUUGACGGUACCUAACCAGAAAGCCACGGCUAACUACGUGCCAGCAGCCGCGGUAAUACGUAGGUGGCAAGCGUUGUCCGGAAUUAUUGGGCGUAAAGCGCGCGCAGGCGGUUUCUUAAGUCUGAUGUGAAAGCCCCCGGCUCAACCGGGGAGGGUCAUUGGAAACUGGGAAACUUGAGUGCAGAAGAGGAAAGUGGAAUUCCAAGUGUAGCGGUGAAAUGCGUAGAGAUUUGGAGGAACACCAGUGGCGAAGGCGACUUUCUGGUCUGUAACUGACGCUGAGGCGCGAAAGCGUGGGGAGCAAACAGGAUUAGAUACCCUGGUAGUCCACGCUGUAAACGAUGAGUGCUAAGUGUUAGAGGGUUUCCGCCCUUUAGUGCUGAAGUUAACGCAUUAAGCACUCCGCCUGGGGAUACGGUCACAAGACUGAAACUUAAAGGAAUUGACGG
rnacentral:rRNA from 1 species